rnacentral:lncRNA from 1 species
UUCGCAUCAAUUAUGUGCUUCCAGUUAUCUAAAUCCCUAUCCUCGUUUCGUCGCUUCUUACUCAAAAUCCCUUCAUUCAUCUUCUGCUUCUUACCAUGUACAAUCAUCACAUCAAUUCUAUGAUUCCUGUUAUCUAAAUCCCUAUCCUCGUUUCCUUGCCUCUUACUCAAAAUGCCAUCUUUCAUCUGCUGCUCCUUACCAGGUCCAAUGUUCACAUCAAUUCGCUGCUUCCUGUUAUCUAAAUCCAUAUCCUCAUUCUGUCGCUUCUUACUCAAAAUCCCACCAUUCAUCUUCUGCUCCUUACCAGGUACAAUUUCCACAUCAAUUCUUUGCUUCCUAUUGUCUAAAUCCCUAUCCUCAUUUCCUCGCUUCUUACUUAAAAUCCCAUUUUCCAUCCUAUUCUUUCUCGCAUUAGUCUUUAGAGCUUUUGAACUCCUCCCCAAUUCGCAUUUUUCCCUAACAUUAUCCUGACCCUUUUCAACCCCAUGAAUCUCCAACUCCCUAUCUCUCUCAUACUUGAUGAACACUGUCAACCCAUUCUGAUCAUUAACUUUAGAAACAUAUGAUGUUCCAUCUAGCUUAGUGUUAGCCAAGAAAUUCAUAUAAAGCGGGUCAGCUUCAACAUCAAAAUAAGCAAGUCUAGGGUUAUCCCUAUCACCACCAUAGGCAACUCCACCCUUCUCUAUAAAUGACAACAAGCUUUUAUAAUCUUCAUCCACAUGAACACAUCUUUCCAAUGCACUACAAAGGUCAUGAUAUAUGUCUUUGUCUUGACAAGGACACAAUUUCUCCAUACCAACUUUCCCCAUAUAAUCACAAACUCAAAUUUCCACUAAACAACUAACCCAAACUACUACCCCCUACAGUCUCUAGGUUUCCAAUUAAGCAUCAGUUUAGCUUGGACACGAGAAAAUUACUCACUCUUUGGAAUUAAGCACAACAAAUUCGCCGAAAUAGAAGUAAUUUGAGAAGCAGAAAAGCUCAUCAGGCCGAAGCAAAAUCUAAGAGGAGUGUAAAAUGAGGAUUAAGAGAUGACCUCGAGAAUAACAAUGAAUGUAAUUUAAAUUACUAUAUUUAUUGAAUUUAAUUAUGUUUU